rnacentral:rRNA from 1 species
CGGAGUGGCGGACGGGUGAGUAAUGUCUGGGAAACUGCCCGAUGGAGGGGGAUAACUACUGGAAACGGUAGCUAAUACCGCAUAACGUCGCAAGACCAAAGAGGGGGACCUUCGGGCCUCUUGCCAUCGGAUGUGCCCAGAUGGGAUUAGCUAGUAGGUGGGGUAAAGGCUCACCUAGGCGACGAUCCCUAGCUGGUCUGAGAGGAUGACCAGCCACACUGGAACUGAGACACGGUCCAGACUCCUACGGGAGGCAGCAUG